GACGAACGCUGGCGGCGUGCCUAAUACAUGCAAGUAGAACGCUGAAGGAGGAGCUUGCUUCCCUGGAUGAGUUGCGAACGGGUGAGUAACGCGUAGGUAACCUGCCUGGUAGCGGGGGAUAACUAUUGGAAACGAUAGCUAAUACCGCAUAAUAGUAGAUGUUGCAUGACAUUUGCUUAAAAGGUGCAAUUGCAUCACUACCAGAUGGACCUGCGUUGUAUUAGCUAGUUGGUGGGGUAACGGCUCACCAAGGCGACGAUACAUAGCCGACCUGAGAGGGUGAUCGGCCACACUGGGACUGAGACACGGCCCAGACUCCUACGGGAGGCAGCAGUAGGGAAUCUUCGGCAAUGGACGGAAGUCUGACCGAGCAACGCCGCGUGAGUGAAGAAGGGUUUCGGAUCGUAAAGCUCUGUUGUAAGAGAAGAACGAGUGUGAGAGUGGAAAGUUCACACUGUGACGGUAUCUUACCAGAAAGGGACGGCUAACUACGUG
rnacentral:rRNA from 1 species